GACUGCUCCAGUGUCCUAUUGGUUAUAGAGUCCACCUCAAAUGUGGGAGGUCAUGGGUUCGAUCCCCAACUGAGUCA